UAUAUUUUUAUUAAAUAUAAUUAAUUAAGAUUUAUAAAAGUUUUAUUUGAGAAAUUAUUUUAUUGGGGUAAUAGAAAGAUUAAUAAAAUUCUUUUUGUUUAUUAACAUUAAUUUAUGGUUUUAUGAUCCAUUAUUAUUGAUU
rnacentral:rRNA from 1 species